UUUAGAUACGAUAAUUAAAAAAAUAUAAUUGAAAGGCUAAAUGCCGAAUUUAUAUAAUUUGACCACUUCUAGAAGCCAUUUACUUAUUUUAGAAAUUCACAUAUAAAUCCUCCUCAAAAACGAUGGCUAACUAUAAUAUAUUUUGUUAUUAAUGGUUUUUUUUCCUUUACAUUUUUAUACUCUUUUUCUCAAACUUUCCUAUAGAUAUUUUGAGGAAAGCAAAUAUAAU
rnacentral:lncRNA from 1 species